UCUUGGUUAACCACGUGCGCCAAAAUUCAUUUUCCUUCAACGUUUCGUGAAAGAUGGCUUGAACUUGUAACUAUGGUUAAUGUGCUCGCGCAUUAAAUUGAAACAUGAAUUAUAAGGAUUUGUCCUAAAAGCGCCUAAGAUGGCUUUCCCGUAAUGGAGCCUCUGUGCCUUCAACAUAAAGUGAGGUUAUGGCAAUUACUUUUGAUGCAUUCUUCGGCAUUGAAGUGAAAAGCAUGAUGCAUUUUGCUGAGUCCGGCACUGCUGUACCAUCAAUUUAAACUGAAUAAAUUUGAUUGCAUAAAAAAAA